ACAAUGAACACGAUAGCAUCACAGUCCUCACAGAUAGCGUUAACCCGCUUAACCGUAUUGGCUUAGCCUCUAUCAGAACAAUACAGUUAUUAUGAGUAUGAUGAGUAAGACGUUUCACGCGUUGUAUGCGAUGAUGGUUGCUUAGUUGGUUUAAAGUAACCUAUAGCUUACCUUAGCUUAGCUUGUUAGCUUUAACUAAAGGCAAGACAAACCCAAAGUUAAGCCAGUAAAUUAAGAAUGAAAGGAAAGCUAAACCUAGCUGAUGACUAGCUCCUCGCCCAGCUAGCGUUAGCGCUCUAAGGUAACAACCAGUAUUAAUGUUGUUAGCAUUAAACAAAACCUACCAUUGACUUUCCAGGAUAAGGUACCGUUUGUUAGCUUGGAAAUGUUGGCGGCGUCUCGUCUGAGCCAAACAUCACUGCACUUAACAUGGGCCAGUGGACCAGAGGCCAAUCUAGACAUAGGACAACACGUGGGUUACCCAUACUGAAGGGACUGGCUAGUGUCCGUAUCAUCAGCCAUCAAAUAAUGAACAGAACGCGGCUCAGCUGUGCAGCAUCGCUUGUUUUGCCAGAUUUGGUGUCCUGUGAAGACAUCAGAGUGGUAACGCUGCAAUGCUCACGCCCACUCCCGCUUGAGACUCAACCCACCGUGUGUGGAACACAUGUCGCGUUCAUGUUCUACAAAAAUCUGUUACGGCCUGAAAUCUUUUGAAAUUGCACCUCGUCAAACAAUUCCAUAAGCUGUUUAUACAGAACUGUUCAUGGACGACCACUUUUUAUCCACAAGCAGAUGUGGCGGCCAACACAUCAAAAAGCGCGCAGCACUUAGUUCAUCCCAUGUUAUUUGAAUGCAGCAGAAUACUACUGAAAAUACUUUAAUCAUUAAAAUGGUAGUGUUGUCUUCCCUGCUACUGACUUUA